UCUGAACCUGAAGGCGAUUUAAAAUCCUGCUGCGUGAAAUGUGUUGUGACUGAAAAAUACAUCGGCGUUGACCUACAGCCAACGAGAGAGCAAGAUACAGGGCAGCGGGAAGUUUUAUAAAACGUAGUUU